rnacentral:rRNA from 1 species
CUUGGUUGAUACUACCAGUAGUCAUAUGCUUGUCUCAAAUAUUAAGCCAUGCAUGUGUAAGUAUGAACAAAUUCAGACUGUGAAACUGUGAAUGGCUCAUUAAAUCAGUUAUAGUUUGUUUGAUGGUAUCUACUACUCAGAUAAUCGUAGUAAUUCUAGAGCUAAUAUGUGGAACAAAUCCUAAUUUCUAGAAAGGAUACAUUUAUUAGAUAAAAGGUCGACGCUGGCUCGACCUGUUGCGCGAUGAUUCAUGAUAACUAGAUGGAUCGCAUGACCAUCGUACCGGUGAUGUAUCAUUUAAAUUUAUUCCCUAUUAACUUUCGAUGGUAGGAUAGUGCACUACCAUGGUGAUGAUGAAUGACAAAGAAUUAGGGUUCGAUUCCAGAGAGGAAGCCUGAGAAACGGCUACCACAUCCAAGGAAGGCAGCAGAUGUGUAAAUUACCUAAUCUUGACACGGGGAGGUAGUGACAACAAAUAAUAAUAUCGGGCUCAAUAAGUCUAGUAAUUGUAAUGACUAUAAUCUAAAUCCCUUAACGAGGAUCCGUUGGAGGGGAAGUCUGGUGCCAGCAGCCACGGUAAUUCUAACUCCAAUAGCAUAUAUUUAAGUUAUUGCAGUUAAAAAGCUUGUAGUUCGACUUUGGGAUGGGCCAGUCGGUCUGCCUAUAGUGUGCACCAGUCGUCUCGUCCCUUCAGUCAGCGAUGAGAUCCUGGCCUUAACUAGCCGGGUCAUGCCUCUGGCGCUGUUACUUUGAAGAAAUUAGAGUGCUCAAUCAAGCGUAUAUUGUAUAAAUUAGCAUGGCAUAACAUUAUAGGAUUUUAGUCCUAUUACGAUGGCCUUCGAGAUCAGAGUAAUAAAUAACAGGGAUAGUCGGGGACAUUCGAAUUUCAUAGUCAGAGGUGAAAUUCUUAAAUUUAUAAAAGACGAACAAAUGCGAAAGUAUUUACCAAGGAAUUUUUCAUUAAUCAAGAAUGAAAAAUGGGGGUUCGAAGAAGAUCAAAUCCCGUCCUAGUCUCAACCACAAACGAUUCUGAUCAGGGAUCGGUGGAUGUUUAUUUUAGAACUCCACCAGCACCUUAUGAGAAAUCAAAGUUUUUGGGUUUUGGGGGGAAUAUGGUCUCAAGGCUGAAACUUAAGUAAUUGAUAGAAGGGCACCACCAGGAGUGGAGCCUGUGACUUAAUUUGACUCAAUACGGGGAAACUUACCAGGUACAGACAUAGUAAGGAUUGAUAGACUGAGAGUUGUUUCUUGAUUUUAUGGGUGGUGGUGCAUGGACAUUCUUAGUUGGUGUAUCGAUUUGUCUAGUUAAUUCCAUUAACGAAUGAGACCUCAGCCUGCUAACUAUCUAUGCGGAGGUAUCCCUUCGCAGCCAGCUUCUUAGACAGACUACGGCCUUUUAGUCCGCAGAAGUUUGAGGCAAUAACAGGUCUGUGAUGCCCUUAGAUGUUAUGGGUUGCACGCGUGCUACACUGACAUAUUCAAUGAGUUUCACCCUUUGCCGACAGGCCCAGGUAAUCUUUGAAAUUUUAUCAUGAUGGGGAUAGAUCAUUGCAAUUGUUAGUCUUCAACGAGGAAUUCCUAGUAAGCGUGAGUUAUCAGCUCGCGUUGACUACAUCCCUGCCCUUUGUACACAUUGCCCAUCGCUUCUACCGAUUGAAUGAUUUGAUGAAAUAUUUGGAUCGCGGCAACGUGGGUGGUUUUCUGCCCACGUCGUUGUAAGAAGUCCAUUGAAUCUUAUCAUUUAGAGGAAGGAGAAGUCGUAACAAGGUUUCCGUAGGUGAACCUGCAGAAG